CAUAAACACUCCUAAAAAUGAAAGGUUCUUUAUGGACAUUGAUGGUUCCAAGAAGAACAUCUUUAACAUCUGUGGAUGAACAACCUUUAACAUUUAUGGAAACCACUCCAUUGCACAAAAGGUUCUUUAUAGUGGAAAAAAGUUCUUUAUAUUAUAAAAAAAAUUUCUUAAGUCCUUGUGUAAUGUGAAAGUUCUCAUUGAUUUUACAUUUUCUGGGUGUGGAGAAGAACAAAAAGAAAAACAUUAGUUAAUAUUUGUCACAUACCAGAACCAUUAGGUGGAGAUAAUUAAACUAAAAGGCCUUUUACUUUACUAUAAUAAGUAUAAGGUGUCAGUCAGAUGAUAGAAGGCAUGUAGAGGACUGUAAACAACAGGUUCUUCACCAAAGUUUUGUCAUUUUAAUAAUUUAGAGACUAAUAUGUUUAUUAAAUAUGAUAUGUAGGCUUUACAGGCUUAAACUCUCAGAAAAUGAAUGUAGUUAAGUGUUUCAUAAUCAUUUAAUAAACUCAGUCAAUUAAACUCUGUUACUGUGUUAUUGUAACAAAAAUAAUCAAAUACAUUAAAACAAAACAAACCACGAAUUUAUCAUAUGUCCCUUUUAAAUAAGGUUCUGUUGGCUACAUUUGUUUUCUCUGUCAUUUCUAAAGAAUUUAAACUAUGUGCAGCUCAUGCGGUAUAGACCUUAAAGGGAUAGUUCACCUAAAAAUGAAAAUUACCCCAUGAUUUACUCACUCUCAAGCCAUCCUAGGUGUAUGUCCACCAAACAGAUAAAAGUUAGAAAAGAAAAGAAAAAAACAAAUUAGAGGGAACAUUGGUAGAACCUUUUUUGGAACUGGGAAACAUUAGUCAGGAAGGUAUAGUUUGUGUGAAAUCCCAGAGACAUACAGCAUGUGCGAAGAUGCAAAGCAUAUGAAACAGUGAUCCCAGCUAAGCUGGUUUGCCAACAGCCAUUAAACACAUAGACAUGGUGAGAAACAAGUGAUUUCCAAAAAGGGGAGAAGAAUUCCAAAUAGGUUUGGAGAACAUUCAAAAGGGUAAGUGCAAGACAGACAGUUAAGUUUGAGGGUAGGGUUUGCCUGUGUGUUUCUUUGUUUGAAGAUCCUGACCCUUUCAAGAUCUCUGACCAGCAGCUACACUCUUCUCCCAUUAAAAGAAACCAGAACAAGAACACAGCAAAGGUUUUGUACCAUUAUGCCUGUAAAUGCCAUUCUAAUAUACUGUAGUCCAAACUUGUGUGUUUGGAUGUGUGAGUAUCAUAUUGUGAUUAUUUAUUACAGAUGUCCAGUUCCAGAAAAAAAGGUGGUCAAGCAGUUCUAUGAUGUCAUCUCUCCUUAUUCCUGGCUGGCAUUUGAGGUAACCAGGAACCUGUUUUGGUCCAAAAUAAGUUUCAUUACAUGGUCACAGAUUUGAAGCAGCUGUCUAAGUUCUUUGGGGUCCCUGUGAAUCCACCUUUACCUUGAAAGAAAUAAUGGGAGGUUUGUCAAACCCGAGAAAGCUGGGUAUGUCAAGCCCGUUUCUGAAAGAGAGGUUACUUACUCUAUGAACCUAACCUGGUCGGGAGUAUAGGUUUUCUUUGGUAAACCCAGAGUUUCUUUUGGUCUCCUCCCCCUUUUUAAAGCGCAAGUGUUGUUUAAAUACUUCAUUCAUUCAUGCACGCUGCAAAAAUGCAUUUCUUACUAAGUUUUUUUUUUUUCAAGUACAAUUAUAAAAAAAAUCUUACAUCAAGAUGGAUUUUCUAUAUAAGAAAUUUAUAUAACAUAUUUAGUCUUGUUUCUUGGGGGGAUCUAAAUUAAGUGCAUUGUACUUAAGUAAAAUUAUCUGCCAGUGUGGUAAUAAAAAUAAUCUUAAUGCACACCAGGUUAAAAUAUAUGACGUGUGUGAAUAGUAGUUUCAGUGGUUGUACCUUCCAGGCAGUAACGUGUUGGAUGUGGAAAACUAACUUGUAACGCGAUUGACGGGGUUUGAAUCCGGCUUUUGCCGAGCUUGUUCUUCUCACUUUUCCCAUCACAUAUCACAUUAGAAUUUAUUUUCAAAAAAAAUGAAGAAAAUGUUCUAAAAGUGGAAGUAAAUUUGCACUUAGCCUACUGUAAAUAGGAUCUGUCGCUAAGAAAGUUCAUUCCACUUAGUGUAAAUACCCGCUGCCGUAUAGAUGCACGCUGUCUUUUACUGUGUUUAAUGGACAUUUAUUGAGCCAGGAGCCUGGAUGUCUGAACAUCCUAGAACAGGGUUGUCAAACUCAAUCUCUGGAGGGCCGGAGCCCUGCAGAGUUUUGAUCCAACCCUGCUCCAACACACAUACCGUGUAGUUUUCAAAUAAGCCUGAAGGACUUGAUUAGUUGGAUUAGGUGUGUUAAAUGGGGUUAAAUCUAAACUCUGCAGGACUCCGGGCCUCCAGGAAUUGAGUUUGACACCCCUGUCCUAGAGAAACUUGAGGAUCUGAAAAAUGAUAGAGUUCUUUUAUGAUAUUGCUUCUCCUAAUUCCUGGCUGGCAUUUGAGGUGCGUAAUGUUUUUCGCCCCUUAGUAUAUUUCAUUGCCAUCUGUACUAAUGCAGUGUCAAUAUCAUGUAUGCAUUGAUUUUUGUGUGUGUGUUUUAAGGUGCUGUCGCCAUAGAAAUGUUAGGAACAUCAACUUUAAAUUCAAACCUUAUAAGUUAUAUAAGUAUAUAGUAAGUUAUAUACGGCUUAGGUAAUGGGGAAAUUACAUGAUAACUUCUUCUUCUUCUUCUUCCGCUUAUCCAGGUCCGGGUCGCGGGGGCAGCAGUCUAAGCAGAGAUGCCCAGACUUCCCUCUCCCUAGACUCUUCUUCCAGUUCUUCCGGGGGAAUACCCAGGCGUUCCCAGGCCCUGCCGGAGUCAGAGUGGUUGGGCAAACAUCCAUGAACCCUCCAGCACCCUGGAGAGGGUAUAGAGCUGGUCCAGUGUUCCACGACGGGAUGAAAACUGCAUUGUUCCUCCUGAAUCCAAGGUUUGACUAUCGGCCGAAUUCACCUCUCCAGUACCCUGGCAUAGACUUUCCCGGGGAGGCUGAGGAGUGUGAUACCCCUGUAGUUGGAACACACCCUUCGGUCCUCCUUCUUAAAAAGAGGGACUAUCACCCCGGUCUGCCAUUCCAGAGGCACUGUCCCUGACCGCCACGCGAGGUGUGUCAACCAAGACAGCUCAGGUCGGGUCUCAUCCACCCCUGGUGCAUUGUCACCGAGAAGCUUCUUAACUACCUUGGUGACUUCAGCUUGGGUGAUGGACGAAUCCACCUCCGAGCCCUCAGCCCCUGCUUCCUCAGUGGAUGACAUGUCGGUGGGGUUGAGGCGAUCCUCAAAGUAUUCCUUCCACCGUCCAAUGAUAUCCCCUGUUGAGGUCAACAGCUGCCCACCUCCACUGUAAACAGUGUUGGCAGGGCACUGCUUCCCCCUCCUGAGGAGCCACAUGGUUUGCCAGCAUCUCUUUUAGGCCAACCAAUAUUCUUUCUCCAUGGCCUCACCAAACUCCUCCCAGACCCGAGUUUUUGCCUCCACAACCACCCGGGCUGCAGCCCGCUUGGCCUGCCGGUACCCAUUAGCAGCCUCAGGAGUCCCUCAAGCCAGCCAGGCCUGGUAGGACUCCUUCUUCAGCUUGACGGCAUCCCUUACUUCCAGUGUCCACCACUGGGUUCAGGGAUUGUCGCCUCGACAGGCACCGGAGACCUUACGGCCACAGCUCUGAGUGGCCGCGUUGACAAUGGAGGUGAAGAAAAUGGUCCACUCUAACUUAAUGUCUCCAGGCUCCCUCGGGAUCUGGUCGAAGCUCUGCCGGAUGUGGGAGUUGAAGAUCUCUCUGACAGGAGACUCAGCCAAACGUUCCCAACAGACCCUCACAAUACGUUUUGGUCUGCUGAAUCUGUCUAGCUUCCUCCCCCGCCAUCGGAUCCAACUCACCACCAGGUGGUGAUCAGUUGACAGCUCUGCCCCUCUCUUUACCCGAGUGUCCAAGACAUAUGGCCGGAGGUCAGAUGAAACGACCACAAAGUCGAUCAUCAACCUCUGGCCUAGGGUGUCCUGGUGCCACGUGCACCGAUGGACACCCUUAUGCUUGAACAUGGUGUUCGUUAUGGACAAACUGUGACUUGCACAGAAGUCCAAUAAUAGAACACCACUCGGGUUCAGAUAAAGGGGGCUGUUCCUCCCAAUCACGCCCCUCCAGGUGUCACUGUCGUUGCCCACGUGAGUGUUGAAGUCCCCCAGUAGAACGACGGAGUCCCCGGUUGGAGCACUUUCCAGCACCCCUCCCAGAGACUCCAAGAAUGCCGGGUACUCUACACUGGCAUUCGGCCCGUAAGCAGAAACGAUAGUGAGAGACCUAUCCCUGGCCCAAAGGUGCAGGGAAGCAACCCUCUCGUUCACCGGGGGAAACUCCAACACAUGCCGGCUGAGCUGGGGAGCUAUGUGCAACCCCACACCAGCCCGUCGCCUCUCACCGCGGCUGACUCCAGAGUGGUAGAGAGUUCAGUCUCUCUCAAGGGGCGUGGUUCCAGAACCCAAGCUGUGCGUGGAGGUGAGCCCGACUAUCUCCAGUCCGUAUCUCUCAACCUCCCGCACAAGCUCAGGCUCCUUCUCCGCCGGCAAGGUGAUAUUCCACGUCCCUAAGGCCAGUUUCUGUGUCCAGAGAUCCGGUCAUCGGGGCUCCUGCCUUCGACCACUGCCCGAUCCACAAUGCACCAGCCCCUUACGGUUCCUCCCACAGAUGGUAACCGCCCCCUUGGACUGAACCCUAGUAAACCUCUCUACAUGGUCUCAGAUCUGAAGUUGCUGUCUGAGUAUCUAUGUUUUCACCUUCAAGCCUUUCUGAGAAAGUUAUUCAAGCCACAGUUUCUCUCAGAUGGUUUUUAUGGACAGAUUUAUAAUGUGCAAUGCAAGACAUAUUUAUUUUCUGUCUCUUAUAAAGAAAAUAACACAUUUUCCUUUUUAUUUUAUCUCUUGCAAGAUAAGCAACUAUGUUAUUCAUGCUUUAUUAAAUAUUAUAUGCUAAUUUAUGUUUACAUCUCUUUCCAGUCAAAGUUUAUAUUUAUCACUACAAUGACAUGGACAUGGAAAAACUGACUACAGAUUUAAGAUUUUCUGAAAAUCAUUGUCACCCUAAUAAAGCCCACAGCCACAAUGUGAUCACUACUCCUCCAUGCUCUAUUUCAACAACCUCUAAAUAAAAUGUUAAAGUGGUGUAAAUACACAUUGUUUCUGUUCAACAGCAAACACACAAACACACACACACACACACACACACACAUCUAAAAGAGGACAUUGACUUCUAAUGUUUUUAAAUACAGCUAGGGGCAGAUCUACUGGUGUGGCAUUGGGUGGCAACUGCCUUAAGAAAAUGCAUUGCCACCCCAGAAUUAUUCCAAACUAGUCUGUGUUUAUUACAUUCAUGAAUAAGCAAAAAUGUAUAUAUUUUGUUGUCAUUUGUUAGGAAAACCAUUAGUCGACAUUUGUAGACAAGCAAAUUUUAAACAAAGGAUAAUAA